rnacentral:sRNA from 1 species
UAAUGAAAAUAGAAAAGGGCAGUUGUUCGAAACAACUACCCAAUGCAGAACCGUUUAAGACGGUGGCAUGUUUAUUGGUUAAGAAUAA